UAUCUCUGUAGAGUCUGCAUAUCAAUAAGCGGAGGAAAAGAAACUAACAAGGAUUCCCCUAGUAACGGCGAGUGAAGCGGGAAGAGCUCAAAUUUGAAAUCUUCAAGGUUUGACCUUGACGAAUUGUAGUUUAAAGAAGUGUUUUCGGUUAGAGGAGUAGUAAAAGUUCUUUGGAAUAGGACAUCAUAGAGGGUGAGAAUCCCGUAUUUGACUAUUCUUUCUAGCUUUGUGAUACACUUUCAAAGAGUCGGAUUGUUUGGGAAUGCAGUCCAAAAUGGGUGGUAAAUUUCAUCUAAAGCUAAAUAUUGGCGAGAGACCGAUAGCGAACAAGUACCGUGAGGGAAAGAUGAAAAGAACUUUGAAAAGAGAGUUAAACAGUACGUGAAAUUGUCAAAAGGGAAGCGUUUGACACCAGUGUUGUUUUCUCGAAAAUCAAUUAAAAAUUGAUUCAUGCCAGGUUGUAUUGACCUUAUCAGCUUGCAAUUUGGUUUUGGGUCUCUUUUCGAUGCACUUUUCGGUUAACAAGUCAACAUCAAUUUCCUUUGCUGUAAAAAGGUAAGAGGAAGGUGGCUUCAAUUUCGGUUGAAGUGUUUAUAGCCUUUUAUCUCUGCAGUCGGGGAGAUUGAGGUCUGCAGCGUAGAUCCUUCGGGGCUAGAUACAUUUAUGCUAAGUUAUAGCUUUUCAUAGACAACUUGUUGACUAUGUUUAGUCAUGUAGCUUACUCGUAAGUGCUAUUUUACCUACGCUUAGGAUGUUGAAGACUCUACAGAGAUA
rnacentral:rRNA from 1 species